rnacentral:lncRNA from 1 species
UUCCAUAGACCAAAAAAUGUCUUUGAUCCGCUAACCAAAAUUCAAGAUGUGAAAAUAAAAAAAAUUCCUAAUUGGAAAUAGAAUUGUAUUAUAUAAUGUGGUGUAAGAAGCAUUCUUAACUCAAAAAACAUUCUUCUGCACAAGAUGGCCAAGAUUUUGAUGACUCUAUUUUUGGCAGUCUCUUUCUUUAUCAUUUCACGCGGUCAGUCUCGCUCUCUCUCUCUUUAUCUUAUACAAUCACAUAUAUACACAAAAUUCGAAUAUAAAUAUGUUAGUAAAGUUUAAUUAAUUAAGUUAUGAAGUGAGUAAAAAUCGUGUUAAAAUGUUUCUUUCAAAUGGCGAGCCAAGAUUUGAAUCUUGUUGGUUUGGAAUUCUAGUUGAUUAUGUUAUUGGAUUCUAAAUUAACAAUGUUAACAUAAAUACAGAGUUUGCAUCAAAAUUAUUUGGUUCGGCUGAACCCGCAAUUCUUACUCUAGCUCUGCCCCUGCAAACAACAUAGUAAAUUAUAUAUAUAUAUAUAUGUAUGUGUGUGUGUGUUUUACAAUAUAAUAUAACGCUUUUAACUUGUCAUAGGUUUGUAAUUUAUAUAACUAGUUCCUCAAAUAUUAUGUCAUAAAGAUGUUAACGAGUAUAUGAUGUUCAGAUGUUGUGACAGAAGCGGCGUGUCAUAGCAGAGCAGAUUGUCAUAUGGCAUGUGAAUCUGGAUUUGCAACUUGUGUUGAUGGGACUUGCAUAUGUUUAGCCAAUAUAUAUUCCACCCAUCGUCAAGGUCCUUCCUUUCUUUCCUUGCACUCCACCCACCCCUUCCUUUUUCUAUAUCUCAAUUACUUCUUUUUUUUUCACUCGGCGUACGAUACCUAUAUUAAGAUUUGGGGCUAGGGACGGAUGCACCAUAUAAUUACCAGAUUCAAUUGAACCCAAUAAUUUUGAUACGGAGCAUAAAUUUAUGUAUAUAAAAUCAUUAAAAUUGUAAUAAAUAGUAGAUAUGAACCCAUAAAUUUGAAUGUUGAACCCGUAGAACUAAAAUACUAGACCCACCUAUGAUUGAGGCCCGACUAAAUCUAGAUUUGUACCAUGAAGACUCACAUUGGAGUUAAAACGCUCCAUAACAAAGACGACUUCAUAACCAGGGGUUCGAACCCAAUACUUCUGGUUAAGUAUGAAUGAGUACUUACUACUCCACCACAACUUUCGUUGGUCUCUCAAUCACUUAUCAACACAAUAUUAAGUUAUAACAUCAGCAAAAAGAUUUAUAUCAUUGAACCCUUUAUAGCUUUUAAGUUAUGGGUUCAUGUUCUACUAUUUAUUACAAUUUAAAUGAUGUUAAUACAUAAAUUUAGGAUCCGUGCCAAAAUGUUAUGGGUUCCGUUAAACUCAUAAAUUGUCGUAAAUGUUGACAAUUUAUAUAGGAGUAACUAAAUUCUUCAAAAACUUAUAUCUGUGCAAAAUACUAACGAGUUUUGUGAUCUUCAUAUGCGAUGACAGGAGAGAAGUGUAAGAGUAAAGAAGAUUGUCAUUUGAACUGUAGAGGUGGAAUUCCAUUCUGUGUAGAAGGGACUUGCGUAUGUAUUUGAAACAAGACAAUAUGCUCCUUUGAUCAUGGAGGUGGCAACUAUCGAGUUUCACGAGUAUUGGAUUGUAUUUUAAGACGCAUCAUUGUAUAAGUUAAUCUUUACUUGACGAAGUAAAUGGCAAUAAAAUUUGUUAGUUGCGUCAUGAUCAGAAAAUUUUGUUUUAUUUUAGAUCUUGAAUCAUUAAAAAAAAUGGCAGCCCCGUGCAGAAGGUAUUCUGCGUUCACGUCCGGUGAAGGACCGACCCCAAGGGAUAUGAUGUAGACAAUGUAUUUUAAUAUAAGCAUUAGUGGUUGUUUCUGCGGCUUAUCUAAAAAGCGC